CCCGCUGAACUUAAGCAUAUCAAUAAGCGGAGGAAAAGAAACUAACAAGGAUUCCCCUAGUAACUGCGAGUGAAGCGGGAAAAGCUCAAAUUUGAAAUCUGGCGGCUCCGUCGCCCGAGUUGUAUUCUGGAGAAGCGUCUUCCGCGUCGGACCGUGUACAAGUGCCUUGGAACAGGACGUCAUAGAGGGUGAGAAUCCCGUCUUUGACACGGACUGCCAGUGCUCUGUGAUGCGCUCUCGAAGAGUCGAGUUGUUUGGGAAUGCAGCUCAAAAUGGGUGGUAAAUUCCAUCUAAAGCUAAAUAUUGGCGAGAGACCGAUAGCGAACAAGUACCGUGAGGGAAAGAUGAAAAGCACUUUGGAAAGAGAGUGAAACAGUACGUGAAAUUGUUGAAAGGGAAACGCUUGAAGUCAGUCGCGUCUUCUGGAACUCAGCCGUGCUUCUGCUAGGCGCAUUUUCCAGUUUGACGGGUCAGCAUCGGUUUCGGUGGGCAGACAAAGGCGCAGGGAAGGUGGCCGCUCCGGUGGUGUUAUAGCCCUGCGUUGUAUGUGCCCGCUGGGACCGAGGAAUCCGGCUCGCGCCUGGGAUGCUGGCGUAAUGGCUCUAAGCGACCCGUCUUGAAACACGG
rnacentral:rRNA from 1 species